GGAGGAUUCUUUAUCAACUGAGCUAUCAGGGAAGCCCAUGGAAAAGAAUAAACAGCUGUAAACACUACUUUAUUAAGCACGAGUGUGUAAUUCUCUGAAAUAUUUCUUUGUGGGAAAGAGAUUCUGCCCCGCACGGCCCAAUUCAAAGCUUCCGCUAGUGCUAAGCCCAAUGUUUCCGAAUUUCCCGCUGACCGAGACUCCAGGUCCACAGAUCGCCCCUCGCAGCCGAUCCCCGACCCCGGCCCUGGCGGAGGCGGGAGACGGCUGCGGACCUGCAGCCCCGGUAGACAGAGGACCAGAGUGCGGGCCUCUCAAAGGCGGGGACUUGGUGGAAGCGGUCCAGUUCUCGCGAGGUUUCGUCCUGACCGGAGCAGGCGACAGCUCCGCGGAGAGAGUGGGUUUCGCUCACAGGAGGGAGCCGAAGGGCCCGGAGUGGUCGUUGCUACCCGGGGUCCGAGCCGGGGGAGAAGCCGUCACCUGUAAAAAGCCAGUUCUCCCUAAAGUCACCCCUGGGGAAGUCCAAGGCAGCGCUGGCCUCUUCCUUCUGCUGUGGGGGCAGCGCAGGCAAACCUUGCCGGCUAAAGAGAACCGCCCUAAGCAAAAAAGAAAAAUCGUUUCAGCCCGUGGAUGUUUCCCGUCGAGGCUAGGACACUGGGCCCUCCAGCGCCGCAUAGUGGUCUUGCAUACUGCUGAGGGCCGCGGAUCCGCCCUGUGGGUGCCCGAUCUCGCAAUAAGGAGCGUGGGGGCUUCACCGCCAACGACUGUCUGGUUUUAAUUAAAAGAUUUCUUGAAAAACGGCAGUGUGCACAGCCUUUUCUGACCUCACAGAUCCCUUUUAGAUUGUUCAGCCCUCGUCAUCCUUUUGACAGCAGUAUUCUCCGUGCAUUUUAUCCUUGAAAUGAAAUGAAGUCGCUCAGUCGUGUCCGAAUCUUUGCGAUCCCAUGGACUGUAGCCCACCAGGCUCCUCGGUCCAUGGGAUUUUCCAGGCAUGAAUACUGGAGUGGGUUGCCAUUUCUUUCUCCAGGAGUGGAGAUUAUCCUUAAUCUUUCCUAAAAUUCGUGUUUGUGUUGGAUACGCCAAGAACAUAAACACAGGUGUCCGGGCUCCCGGGGAGCUGGAGCUUAAGGUGGAUCUAGUGAAGCAAACCAGCGGCGUCUCUCCCAGGUGGUCAUCCGGUGGCUGCCCCCCAGCAUCACCAAGGAGCAGCUGGAACAGCAGCUGCACCUGCUGCCCGCACACCUUUACCGAGCUCAGGUGAGAAGCCUUUACGAACAUUAAAAGGCCAACCUGGAGUUCCCUGGUGGUACUGUGGUUAGUACUCCGAGCUUUCUCUGCUGGGCCUGGGUUCAACCCCUGGUUGGAAACUAAGACCCCACAAGCUGCACUGCGGGACCUUUGAUUUUCUACCUCUGAGGACCAGCUUUCUAACCCUGGCUUUGUGCAGUAGAGAGACCAACCUAAAGUGCCUCUCUGAAAUCUUUAAAAAGAUCUGUUAAUAUUUUGUUUGGUUUUCUUGCUAAAGAAUAUCCAGAU
ensembl:lncRNA